rnacentral:rRNA from 1 species
CCUAACCUUCUACUGGGGGAUAGCCUUCCGAAAGGAAGAUUAAUACCGCAUAACAUCACAUGAGGGCAUCUGAGUGUGAUCAAAGAUUUAUUGGUAGAAGAUGGGCAUGCGUGACAUUAGCUAGUUGGUGCAGGUAACGGCUCACCAAGGCUACGAUGUCUAGGGGUUCUGAGAGGAUGAUCCCCCACACUGGUACUGAGAUACGGACCAG